GUACGCGUAAUUGAACGGUUAAUUUACAACACCGGGCAACAGUGGUUUCAGGUGGACAUCAGCUGUUUACCACGCGACUAAACACAAGAAUUUUUUUUGUUUACGAUGCGAUUUCCUAGAGGUUAGUUUUACGUUGAAAAAUAAUUUAAAAGUUUGUUGGAGAACUUCAAUGAUGGUGUAGUUCGAUUCAAGAGCAUUUCAAUGGGAAAUCAAGUCUGCGCAAGAUAAUCAUUAAAAGGAGUGACUUUGUGAGCAUCAAUAUGGGCAACUAUGCGUUUAACCACUAGCUUCCUAAUACUUCUGUCAUGCUGGGGUUUGACCAUGGAAGAACUACAACCGACCCCAAAUACAUAUCUUUACUCUGAUGUAGAUGCUUGCACGAGAUAUAACUUCUUACCGAUCAAUGAAAAAAAUUUCCGGGAAGCCAUUCUUUUCUUCAAUCUUUGCCAGCAGCUCAUACAUGUUCUUCCAGCAGAACAACGUAAAGACUAUGCUAGAUACCUUAGACAUGAGCUUAUCAUGACACGAAAUGAAUUCAAAUCAAAAAACGAAAACAAAGAUAUUGCAGAAUGGCUUGAAAAAAAAAUUGACUCUCUUCUCCUGGAUAUAGACAAACAGCAGUCUGAUGCAGGGUGAAUAUUUUCUAAAAUUUAUUUUUUUUAAGAAGUUAGGUACCUAAGUAGGUACUUUGAUAAAUUAAACAGAGGUUUAAACAGAAUUUAAAACUCUUUCACUCUUAAUUCUAUAAUAUGGCAAGCCAUAGCCUAUAAUAAGGAUUUAAAAAAAAAAAAACACCUUUUGCAAUUUUUACAUUUGUGUUCUUUCAGUAAAUACUAUUAUAUCCCUACUGAUUACAAAACAAUUUGUUUGCUUCAAUGAUUGACAACCUCAUAAUCUUCCUCCAACUUCAGCUGCAAGCGGAAGUUUCUUUUUUUUUUUAAUGCUUUGAGAUCUAGUUACCUAUAGCACGUUUUAACUUUCUUGGAUCAAAAUUUUAAAAAAUGCCAUGGGUGUCAAAAUGUCAUAUGGUUUAGAAAACUUAAAAUUCCGCGGUCCAGAUGAUGAUCCGUAGAAAAUGGCACCAAGCCAUGGAUAUACUGUUCUAUUCUAACCAGCCGUAGAGGCUUCAUUAUUUAUAGCUCGUUCAUAACUUUUUGGAUUGAAAUUUUAAAAAUUUCCAUACGUGUCUUAAUAUCGUAGUUAAAAAAACUCGAAAUUCAGAGCUUGAGCUUGCCAUCUGUGGAAAAUGGCAAUAGAGCAUGGCUAUAACAUUCUUUUUUAAUGACUUGUAGAGGCUCUAUUAUUUUCAGCAUGUUUCAACUUUCUCGGACUAAAAUUUAAAAAUUUCCAUAGGUGUCAAAAUAUUGUAGUUAAAAAAACUCAAAAUUCUGUGCUCCAGAUUCUCAUUCGGAGAAAAUGGUGACAGAGUAUGGAUGUAACGUCCUCUGCAAAAAAAUAUCGCGUCAAACAUCCUAUUUCUGGUAUUUUCAAAAACAGGGUUUCUUUGCCAUAUUCAGGCCUAGAAAAAAAUCUAAAAAAAUGCUCCAAAGCUCAAUUUACGAUUUUUUUUAAAAAGUCGUAUUGACAAGGUGGAUGCCACCGACCCAUUAGAAAUGAGGAAUGUGGCAUUUUAUCAAUUUUUGAUCUUGCAAUUAAAUCUCUCAAAUUAAAGAGGUAAAAGAGAACCGACGACUGAUUUAGAGUUUUGACACAGAGAAUCAAUACUUUUAAUUCUCAUGCUUCUUAUUAUUUCUUGACAUUAUAAUUCACUCCGGAUAAUCACAUGAUAUUUAUUAAUAUUUU
rnacentral:lncRNA from 1 species